GCGCACGCUGGCGGCAGGCCUAACACAUGCCAGUCGAACGAACCUUUCGGGGUUAGUGGCGGACGGGUGAGUAACACGUGGGAACGUGCCUUUAGGUUCGGAAUAACUCAGGGAAACUUGUGCUAAUACCGAAUGUGCCCUUCGGGGGAAAGAUUAAUCGCCUUUAGAGCGGCCCGCGUCUGAUUAGCUAGUUGGUUGAGGUAAUGGCUCACCAAGGCGACGAUCAGUAGCUGGUCUGAGAGGAUGAUCAGCCACAUUGGGACUGAGACACGGCCCAAACUCCUACGGGAGGCAGCAGUGGGGAAUCUUGCGCAAUGGGCGAAAGCCUGACGCAGCCAUGCCGCGUGAAUGAUGAAGGUCUUAGGAUUGUAAAAUUCUUUCACCGGGGACGAUAAUGACGGUACCCGGAGAAGAAGCCCCGGCUAACUUCGUG
rnacentral:rRNA from 1 species